UCAGGCAAGUUCUCGGUAUCAAGGACAGGCGGAGGGUCGGUCGAACAGCGGUCAGGGUCAGAGCGGGAUUCCAUGGGUGAGGUCAGAAGACGAAGCAAAGAGUCGGUCGAACGGCAAUCGGAGUUGAAACGAAGAUCUGUGGAUGUGGUCGAGAAACAAAGCUAGGGGUCAAAACCAGAGAACGUGAACUCAGAACUGGAGAUGUGUAAGAGUGCGGAGUCACAAGGAAGGACGGUUGUCCCUGACGAGAUUCCACAAAGGACUGAGCCCAAGGCACAGGGUGUGGGGAAGCGCCCCUUCGUGGGAGCAAUGGACAUUACACACUGAGCUGGAUGUGCACUGUGGUCCACUACACUGCAUAUAGGAAUGCUAUGUUAAGGCAUUGUCCCCCCAUCUCCCUCUGGUGACUCACAAAAAAGCCAUUCACGAACAAGCAUGCAAUACGUUCACCGUGAGGAGCCAUUGCCAUGGGGUAAAGAGCAAACAAAGUCAACAUUUCUCCUACAACGGUGUCGAUUUAAAGAUCACUGCCAUGCUUUAACCGACCAAAUAGACCCCAUAAUCUUUCACCUCUGGAAUUUUUACCAUUAGGCAAAAAGUGAAGAAAAACAUCUGUAACUCAAAGGAGAAUGUAGUUGCUUUCGAAAGUUGCUUUCAAGAAACCAGAUUCAAGUUAGCCUGAGACACAUUGCACAGAUAGGGGGGUCUUCUUACACAUUUACGACAGACAUCUCGCUCCAGUAUCCUGACCUCGAACAGCAGGCCCUCAGAAGGAAGCCCCUUACAAUAUUCUCGAUGAAAACACGAUAUCCUCAAAAACAUCUUUCUUCAGCUCCUUAUUUGUGGAAAUUCCACCAUGGGUACCUAUGCUUGCAACUCUAUCUUCAGCUCGCCACCAUUUCCCCUUGUCUCUGUCCCGCAAACAUCUCCAAAAGGACGAGGGACUUUGACACACCAGAAAGCAAACCAGCGUUUGACUGAAGAAGUUCUGGACGUGAAUAGCUCUCCAAAGAUUUUGACGGCAGGUGGCAGGGAUACAUCUUUGCAGUUUGGCAGCACAGCGAUGCAGCGAGUCACGCUGCCGCCUCACAGCCCCUGGGUGGUGCAAGAAAAAAUGGGGUUUGUCCAGCUGCUCUGGAUUCCCUCCACAGUCCAAAGACAUGCAGUUCAGGUGAACUGGUGUCUCUAAAUUCCCUUUAGGGUCUG